rnacentral:rRNA from 1 species
UACGUAGGGGGCAAGCGUUGUCCGGAAUCAUUGGGCGUAAAGGGCGCGUAGGCGGCGUGACAAGUCACUUGUGAAAUCUCCGGGCUUAACCCGGAGCGGCCAAGUGAUACUGUCGUGCUAGAGUGCAGAAGGGGCAAUCGGAAUUCUUGGUGUAGCGGUGAAAUGCGUAGAUAUCAAGAGGAACACCUGAGGUGAAGACGGGUUGCUGGGCUGACACGUGACGCUGGAGGCGCGAAAGCCAGGGGAGCAAACGGG